rnacentral:rRNA from 1 species
AUGAACGCUGGCGGCGUGCCUAAUACAUGCAAGUCGAGCGAACGGACGAGAAGCUUGCUUCUCUGAUGUUAGCGGCGGACGGGUGAGUAACCCGUGGAUAACCUACCUAUAAGACUGGGAUAACUUCGGGAAACCGGAGCUAAUACCGGAUAAUAUUUUGAACCGCAUGGUUCAAAAGUGAAAGACGGUCUUGCUGUCACUUAUAGAUGGAUCCGCGCUGCAUUAGCUAGUUGGUAAGGUAACGGCUUACCAAGGCAACGAUGCAUAGCCGACCUGAGAGGGUGAUCGGCCACACUGGAACUGAGACACGGUCCAGACUCCUACGGGAGGCAGCAGUAGGGAAUCUUCCGCAAUGGGCGAAAGCCUGACGGAGCAACGCCGCGUGAGUGAUGAAGGUCUUCGGAUCGUAAAACUCUGUUAUUAGGGAAGAACAUAUGUGUAAGUAACUGUGCACAUCUUGACGGUACCUAAUCAGAAAGCCACGGCUAACUACGU